AUUGAACGCUGGCGGCAGGCCUAACACAUGCAAGUCGAGCGGGGUUUUCGGACCUAGCGGCGGACGGGUGAGUAAUGCGUAGGAAGCUACCCGAUAGAGGGGGAUACCAGUUGGAAACGACUGUUAAUACCGCAUAAUGUCUACGGACCAAAGUGUGGGACCUUCGGGCCACAUGCUAUCGGAUGCGCCUACGUGGGAUUAGCUAGUUGGUGGGGUAAUGGCUCACCAAGGCGACGAUCCCUAGCUGGUUUGAGAGGAUGAUCAGCCACACUGGAGCUGAGACACGGUCCAGACUCCUACGGGAGGCAGCAGUGGGGAAUAUUGGACAAUGGGCGCAAGCCUGAUCCAGCCAUGCCGCGUGUGUGAAGAAGGCCUUCGGGUUGUAAAGCACUUUCAGUAGGGAGGAAGGAUGUUGUGUUAAUAGCACAGCAUUUUGACGUUACCUACAGAAGAAGCACCGGCUAACUCUGUGCCAGCCGCCGCCGUAACAC
rnacentral:rRNA from 1 species